AUAAAAAGAGUUGACUCUCUCAUCUGGACUUUUAUUCUCCUACAGGGCUGGUACUCUGCUCAUGUGUUAGAAUUUCAAGGCUAAUAGGAAAGCCUUUAUUUAAAAAAAUCUGACCUGCCUACUUGAUAUGCAUAUUUGCUUAAUAUAUGCAAUACCUGCAUAGAAGAGUUUAGGAGAAAACUCUUUAAUUCCACCACUGUAAAUAAAAACUCAUAGGCAAACAUCUCUGGAAGAUGUAAUAGUGAUUUAAAUUCACACUAAAGUAGUAAUUACUGCCCAACUAACUGAGACAUGCCUGAAAUACUUUUCUAGAGUAAAAGGGAGAGUAGGAAAACAUUAGGAAUAUGCAAAGGGUUGCUUUCAGGAAUAAAGAAAGGUGCACAAAAAUAAAGUUCUAAAAGGACAGAAGAUAAAUAUCACAGUUCGAUUUAAGGUUAUAUCAAAUCUUUUCUUUACUUGCAAGUACAGAACUGAUCGUUAAAACUGACUUUAAAACUGUGUAUUUAUUAUGUUUUACAACAGCCCUUUGAAAAAUCUCUGCAAAAACAAAACAAAAAAUCAUUGCAUGGUGCCCAAACAAAGAAUAGGCCAGCGUGGAAGGUGGUCAGACUCCUACUCUUUGGAGAGCUAUGAACACAGUUUGAAGACUACUCAUCAGGUAUAUUGGAGAAAGGAUUUAUUUCUGGUAAGUGCUGGAUAAGACAGAUGCUGAAAUACCAUAAUUCUGUCACCUGUCACACCUUGAAUACCGAUGGCAGUUAUUGGUAUACUGAAACUGCUCUACUGGCUCCUAAGAACCAACUUUUCAAUUUUCAGUGAAAACAUUUGUACUUUGGAAAUCAGUGGAUGCUAAAAAGAAGGGCAUGAUUUAUUAUUAUUCUGUUAAUUGUCAAAAUUUAAGAAAAUGGUAGAGAAAAUAUUAACAAAGCAGAUCAAUUUAAAAUUUUUGUCCAUCAUCCAAUUGUCCACAGAUAUCCAGUUGUUAGAUGUUUAUCAACAAACUUAAUGGUGGGUGUAGUGAUGAUCCUAUUCCCAUAAAUAUUUAUGUAAAAAUAAUCUUUUGGACAUUUGAAAUGUAACUGUGUCUGGUAGAUAUGUUAAAGUGUCUUAGAUGUAGAGUUAGAUAUUUUUAUUUACAAGAACUGUUACAAUUAAAUGAAUUAGAAAAGACAAAGUGUCCCAUGCAACAGUUGUUAGAGGCAGCUAGGUGGCACAGGGCACAGGUUUUGAAGUCAAGAGGACUUGAGUGCAAAUCUCCCUCCAACAUUUAUUAGAUUUAUGAUUCUGGACAACUUACUUAAUGUUUAUUUGCCACAGUCUCUUCACCUAUAUAAUGGGGGUGAUGAGAGUACCUAUUUCCUACGUUGGUUGUGAAUAUCAAAUGAUAUAAUUAUUUAUAAAAGUCUUAACAUACUGCCUCGGUCAACUAUUUUCAUUAUUAUUAUUUUAUGAUAUUAAGAUAGAAUAGAAAUUUUUGCUUCUUUAAGUCUAUAUGGAAGUAUGUAUUCUCACUAUUUGUUUUCCAGGAAAAUGUUUAAAAACAAAAUGUUGAAAAAAGUUCUGUGGGUAGUUUAACAGAUAGAGCAUUAGAUAUGGAGUCUGAAGGCCUCCUUCCUAUUGCCAGUUUCAGUACAACAUUCAGUACAACAUUCUCUGGGCCUCAGUUUUCUUAUCUAUAUAAUGGGGAGUUAAAGCUGCUUAAGUCUUUUCUAGCUCUGGGAUUAUGACUAAUUAACCAAGCUAAUAAGCUUCUAUUCUUUUGUAAUAGGAAAUGAGUAAAGGGGAUGUGUGGAUAAUCCAUGACCUUAUUUAUGCCACUGGUAUUAUGACAAUGAUAUAUUAUGAAAUUCUGAAGCAAUUGUAUUAAAAGGAAAUAGAACUACAAUCCAAGUACAUUCUUCAACAACAACAAAAAAAAAGAUGACUAAGAUGAGAAGCAAAACCAACAAAGAAUGAAAUAAAUAUCCAUUUUAAAUAUUAAACA
rnacentral:lncRNA from 1 species